UUAUCUUCCAUUGUGUGUUCAGUGUCAUGGCCGUAACCAUAUAUUGAAAUUUCUGUUGGAUUAUCCAGAGCCACAUACCCCUGACCAAAGCCUCCUCAUCCUCCUCCUCGUCAACCUCCAUUCCCGGCCUGAGAAUGAGGUCCUCGCACAUGCUUUGUAACUCUGUUACUCCUAAGUUGUUAAUUUCAGAAUCCUGCAUGCUCAAUCCAUCAUAGAAGGAGGGCUCGAUCCAUGGCGCCGCAAGCCAUCGAUCUGUUUCCCCUACUGCCGCCGUGGUGCCUCCCCCUGCUCCAUUGUGUCUCCUUUGCCUCGACGGUGCCACUUCUGCCUCUCCCAUGCCCGACCCCUCCUGUUCCCUUCGACAUCUCUCUUCACUAUCAUCUGUCGACCUUCUCCGACGGUCCGACCUUGCAACUGUAGAUUGUGUAGCUCACCAGUUUAGACCAGGCAUUGGCAUCAACAACGCUGGUAGAGUGGGCACUCGUGUUCAUGGAUGCACGUUGAAACGAACCUAGCCGGGCUUGGCAGCCUUGAUGUCCAAUACUCACUGCUACUGUCAGAGAGGUGCUUGCCUUUCCGCUCAUUGCCAAGCCUCCCGAGUUCUGAAUGCUAAGUAAUCAUAGAAAACAUCGACAUGUAGUUCCCACAAUGAUUAUCUUCAACUCUUUACAUAACUAGUAAUGUUUUAUCUUGCAUUCUUCUACUGACGUUACAUUAAACUACAUUCUUCUACUACUUUUGCAAAUUUUACUACCAUUUAGUAACUGAAGUCUUGAUCUAAUUCUUUUGAUUUUCUGUGUUCCAUACAAAAUUUAGAGCUAGUAGACUCUGACGGCCUAGAGUAAUUUUCUUCCCUAGAGACAUCAACAACACAUGCAUUGCAGGUAAUGAAUAUUGAAGAAUGAAUUUUUCCAGUUUUUGUUUGUAACGAAAGCACUAAUUUCAAACAUUCACACCUCAACUUACUAAUUUUUUUCAUCAUAUAAUAGGGAACUCACAAUCGGGUGUAGAAAAUAGCAUCUUCUUAGAUAUGUACACAUGCAACACAUUGUUCCCCUUUGUAUUCUUGAGAUUUCCUGUCUUAGAAAAGGUAGUUUUCACUUUUUAGAUAGGUUCAUUUACAUUGGCAGUUGUAGUCCACAUAUAUAGCUUUCUAAGUGGAUUCUUGAGUUUUCUUGCCUCUAGAAAGCAUUUCUAUUCCGUUAUAUUUUGCUCUCAGAAAAUCUGGUCCAAGCUGCAGUUUUAUAGAAGGAAGUUGGACGCAGCAUUGGACGAGAUAAGACUUAUGUAAUUUUCUCACUUAUAUUGUAAUCUAAAGUCUAUGUUUUCAUCAAUCUUAAUUUUUACCCAAGACUUAAAUUUUCUUGACAUGUUCUAAGCAUUGUCUGGUUGUCAAUUGACUUAUCAUCUUAUAUUUUGUAAAUGAUAAAAAUAUUAAGGUUGAAAGAACACAUAUUUCAGUUAUUUCACUUUCUAGUGAUAAUUUGUUGGAGCGUUCGUGUGAGAGUAAGCCUAUUUUGUGGGUCUAAAACAAAUAUUUUAUCUAUUGAUUCUGUAAACUUGGCAAAAAUAUUUGGGUUGUCACAUGAUUUUUUUAAUUUUCACAAGCUAACUCCCCCGUUUGGUUUCCCCACGAUUGGUUCCUAGGCACAACCCGAGCUGCCAUCCUCAUGGAUGGCCUGCAUGGGGUAGAUGCUUGCUUGUCUCCAUGGAGGGCCAGGUUGAACGGGAGAGGCGGGUUCCCCGGUCCGCCGCGAGGGAUCAUGCUCCGCUGCCUCACCAAUUAUAGGCAAAUGGGAUUCUACCCCUUGUCCCCAGUCCGCCCACAUUCAUCUUUAGACCUAUGAGCAUAUAACUAACAUAUUAAGUAGAGAAAUUAUACCCUGCAAAAAAAAUAGAGAAAUUAUACUCUUUGCCGUUGCACCGGGUAAAAUGCCUUUAAUUUUGUAGAUUGCGUGAAGGUGUUCGAGAAUUGAGGGCAUGCACGGUCACUUUGAGUGCUUCAUCGAGAUUCUCAAGGUCAUUGUCAUCGCACACAAGGGCACUGACAGGUCCAAGGGCAGCGGAUUUGUGAGGAACCAACCAAAAAUUCUCAAUUCCCCUAAGAGUGAACUACCACUGCCAUAGGGCCUCAUUUUGCAUAGGAGAUAAUAGACAACUAUCAAGGGCUAUAAUUGCGGCCUCUUCCAAAGCCGGAGCUGCCCGUGGAGUCGAUGUCAUGGUCGCCCAAGAGACGAAUCCAUCAUCGAUGCCACAGAGUAGGAGCUUUUGUCGCCGAGGUCAUGUCUGAACCUAAACCUCAACUUUCUAAGGAUGGUAAGAUGUCUAACCUCAGUCUUCUAGCAGCCGGUGGCCGUUGUCCUCUCGUCUCUAUUCAGCUGUUGGUUGUAUGAAAUAGAUAGUUAAAUAUUUAUUUUGGUGGUACCUUAUAGAUGGUAGUGAUGUGGAUACACGAGAGAUUGGGACACCUAUGCAUAUAAAUAAAAUUGAACAUUGAUCUUUCUUA